rnacentral:rRNA from 1 species
GACAGAGGGUGCAAACGUUGUUCGGAAUUACUGGGCGUAAAGCGCACGUAGGCGGCUUUCUAAGUCGGGGGUGAAAUCCUGGAGCUCAACUCCAGAACUGCCUUCGAUACUGGAGAGCUUGAGUCCGGGAGAGGUGAGUGAAACUGCGAGUGUAGAGGUGAAAUUCGUAGAUAUUCGCAAGAACACCAGUGGCGAAGGCGGCUCACUGGCCCGGUACUGACGCUGAGGUGCGAAAGCGUGGGGAGCAAACAGG